ensembl:snoRNA LOC120102041 small nucleolar RNA SNORA17
UCUGCCCCUAGAGGCAUUGCAAAUGUGGCCGCUGGGUUACAUGUGCGUCAGUAGGUGGCAGAGAGGAGAGAGGCUGAGUCUAUUCUCAGUGUUCUGACCUGUUCAUAACAUAGUGGUGUUCAUAAACAUCUGAAUAAUUAGUAGCCUAACAUC